rnacentral:rRNA from 1 species
CCUACGGUGGGCAGCAGUGGGGAAUAUUGCACAAUGGGCGCAAGCCUGAUGCAGCCAUGCCGCGUGUGUGAAGAAGGCCUUCGGGUUGUAAAGCACUUUCAGCGGGGAGGAAGGCGUUAAGGUUAAUAACCUUGGCGAUUGACGUUACCCGCAGAAGAAGCACCGGCUAACUCCGUGCCAGCAGCCGCGGUAAUACGGAGGGUGCAAGCGUUAAUCGGAAUUACUGGGCGUAAAGCGCACGCAGGCGGUCUGUCAAGUCGGAUGUGAAAUCCCCGGGCUCAACCUGGGAACUGCAUUCGAAACUGGCAGGCUAGAGUCUUGGAGAGGGGGGUAGAAUUCCAGGUGUAGCGGUGAAAUGCGUAGAGAUCUGGAGGAAUACCGGUGGCGAAGGCGGCCCCCUGGACAAAGACUGACGCCCAGGUGCGAAAGCGUGGGGAGCAAACAGGAUUAGAUACCCCUGUAGUC